rnacentral:rRNA from 1 species
UACGUAGGGGGCAAGCGUUGUCCGGAAUCAUUGGGCGUAAAGAGCGUGUAGGCGGCCAGAAAAGUCCGCUGUGAAAACUCGAGGCUCAACUCCGGGCCUGCAGUCGAUACGGGCAAACUGGAGUGUUGCAGGGGAGACUGGAAUUCCUGGUGUAGCGGUGAAAUGCGCAGAUAUCAGGAGGAACACCGGUGGCGAAGGCGGGUCUCUGGGCAACAACUGACGCUGAGGAGCGAAAGCGUGGGGAGCGAACAGG